UGGGAGCGCAGAGCCAGGAGGGCUUGGGGCGCGAGCGCACAGGGGCGCAGUGCCCGGGCCAUCCGGAGCAGAGGGCGCCGAGUCCAGCGAGCAAACGGGCGCCCUCAGAGCCCUGCUGAGAGGCAGCUCUUGGCCUUCCCAGCUCCUCAAGUCAAUACUGAGACCCUACAUGUGAGGGACUGAGGAGCCCUAGGGCAUCCACAAGGAAAUUCCUGAAGCUGACUCAGACCCAGCAAAUUUGCCUGCUGUUUGAACAUCCUCCAGUUCUUCCCCCACCUCAACCCCUGUUGCUAUGGAGACCACCAAUGGGACCGAGACCUGGUACGAGAGCCUGCACGCUGUGCUGAAGGCUCUAAAUGCCACUCUUCACGGCAACUUCCUCUGCCGGCCAGGGCCAGGGUCAGGGCCAGGGCCGGGGCCAGACAACCAGACUGAGGAGCGGCGGGCCAGCCUAUCUGGCCGUGACGACAACUCCUACAUGUACAUUCUCUUUGUCAUGUUCCUGUUUGCUGUCACUGUGGGCAGCCUCAUCCUGGGAUACACCCGUUCUCGCAAAGUGGACAAGCGUAGUGAUCCCUAUCAUAUGUACAUCAAGAACCGUGUGUCUAUUAUCUAAUGCAGGAGGGCCGGGGAUGGUGGAAGAUCAAGACACCUGGGGAUCACUUCUGGAGCUCCCAGAACUCAGCUAUGGACCACAGCAGGCCUCCGUGUCUCUUUCUAUAAUACCAACAAGAAACAGUGAUGAGGAAACUGAAGUUCAAAGAAGAGUAAAAAAUACAAGUCAGUAGCAAAGCCAGGUCCACAAUCCAGAGUUCCUUUGUUUCCAGCCAAUGGUCUUUACCUCAGCAUUUCCCAAGUAUGAUGAUAAUAGAUAUUCCAUGAAUAAAAGUUUCCAACAACAAGCAAGUUUAUGAAACACUGGGUUAAGGUUAAAUAGACAUCUUUUGCAGAGCUCUUCUGAAACUUUUCUAUGUGCAACAUCAACUCUCCAAGACAGGGAUAUAACAUAGAAUAUAGCCCAAAAGUAUUAUAUUUGAUAUUGAACCCUAUUUCAGGAGCAUAUUAAGUAUCUCUUAGAACUCCUUUAGAAAUGCCACUGUAUACAGAGCUUCAGUGUGAUGGAAGUUUCCAUGGGUUUUGAUCUGUGGGGUGUGGUUGUUUUUAUUCUAAAUUAGAAGCAAACAUAUUUUUUCCACUGGGCCUUUCUGUCAGCAUCCCUGUCCCAGCUGACUUGUGAGCCUGAGGAUACAAAAAAUAAUGAAAACCAGACUCAGGGAAAAGCAUACUUGUUUAGAGUCAUCCAGUUGUAUCCAAAAGGCAGAUCCAAUAUGCCUUUUUCCCAGGAGUAGAAAUACAGACACAAAACAUACACUGUGACCCCCAAGUGCUUUCCAUUUUGAGUAAUUUGCUUACAGUCACUACAUUGCAAAAGUAAUAGCCAAAGUCCCACAUGAAGUCACAUAAGAAGCCGAGAAAUCAGGAUUCUUAUCUUAGCUCCUCCAUUUAUUAGCCAUUUGACCAAAAUGGAUUAAUUUCAUCUGCUUAUCCCUUUACUUUUAUUAAGUACCCUCUUGCAUCAAAUUAAAUUAAUCUCUCCCUUCUUUGAACUACCAAACAUAUAUAUUUCAUCUGUAGCCCUCCUUCCCCCAAGCCCUUGAGGAUUGCUAUGAAACAUAGUUUAAAACCAACAGACUUCAUGAUCUCUAUAGUUCCUUUCAGCUCUUGAUUCAAAUGUAUAUAUAGUUUCACAACCUCUUGCCUCCACCUAUUAACGAAAGGUCCUAGCUCCUUAAGAAAUGGUCCUCUUAAUUUCUGAGAGGCCCAGAGAGUGAUUUUCACAUGUUGUCUUGAUGAGAUGCCAGAUGACAUGGACCCUUCUAGAGUUCUCAGUACAUAGAGUCCAUUAUAUGAAACGUACAGAAGGGAGAAGACUACCUCUCUCUCCCCACAUCAUGCUAUACUUUGUCACAUGAGCUUCUAAUAGGUAUUAUUAGAGACAGAGUCUCGCUUUGU